rnacentral:rRNA from 1 species
UACGUAGGGAGCAAGCGUUGUCCGGAAUCAUUGGGCGUAAAGCGCGCGUAGGUGGCCUCAUAAGUCCGCUGUGAAAGUCCAAGGCUCAACCUUGGAAAGCCGGUGGAUACUGUGAGGCUAGAGUACGGAAGAGGCGAGUGGAAUUCCUGGUGUAGCGGUGGAAUGCGCAGAUAUCAGGAGGAACACCAAUAGCGAAGGCAGCUCGCUGGGACGUUACUGACGCUGAGGCGCGAAAGCGUGGGGAGCGAACAGG